rnacentral:rRNA from 1 species
UACAGAGGGUGCAAGCGUUGUUCGGAAUCAUUGGGCGUAAAGCGCACGUAGGCGGUUUGCUAAGUCGGAUGUGAAAGCCCCAGGCUCAACCUGGGAAGUGCAUUCGAAACUGGUGAACUUGAGUGUCGGAGAGGGUGGUGGAAUUCCGAGUGUAGAGGUGAAAUUCGUAGAUAUUCGGAGGAACACCAGUGGCGAAGGCGACCACCUGGACGAACACUGACGCUGAGGUGCGAAAGCGUGGGGAGCAAACAGG